rnacentral:rRNA from 1 species
GAUCCUGGCUCAGGAUGAACGCUAGCUACAGGCUUAACACAUGCAAGUCGAGAGGCAGCAUGAAAGGAACUUCGGUUCUUUUUGAUGGCGACCGGCGCACGGGUGCGUAACGCGUAUCGAACCUGCCUCAUACUCGGGGAUAGCCUUGCGAAAGUAAGAUUAAUACCCGGCGGUCUCGGAUGGCCGCAUGACUAUCCGAGUGAAGAUUUAUCGGUAUGAGGUGGCGAUGCGU